rnacentral:rRNA from 1 species
CGUCGCCUACGGGGCGCAGCAGUGAGGAAUAUUGGUCAAUGGGCGGGAGCCUGAACCAGCCACGCCGCGUGAGGGAAGAAGGUACAGCGUAUCGUAAACCUCUUUUGUCAGGGAACAAAGGCGGGGACUAGUCCCCGGAUGAGGGUACCUGAAGAAAAAGCAUCGGCUAACUCCGUGCCAGCAGCCGCGGUAAUACGGAGGAUGCGAGCGUUAUCCGGAUUUACUGGGUGUAAAGGGAGCGUAGGCGGUGCAGCAAGUCAGAAGUGAAAGCCCGGGGCUCAACUCCGGGACUGCUUUUGAAACUG